GCCGCUAUCUGUACAGAGGAAGAUGAAGAAUUCAAGGAGACACAUCCACCAUCGGACACAGCAAGAAGAUCAACUUGAUUUAGUUGUCUUGUAUCGUAAUUUUAUUUCUUUUCUUUAUGUACGUUUCUUUAUUUGAUUAAUGAAAAGUAAUCUUAUUAUAAUUUUCAUGCUUCUUUCUUAAUUUCUUACAAUUUAUUAUUUUUUUCUUUUGCAUUUUCGAAACAAUCAACUAAGAUCCCCAC
rnacentral:lncRNA from 1 species